UUGCUCAUCCAUGCAGGUCUCCUGCCCUCUUUGCUGGACUUCUUCCUCAGAGGGAUGCACAGAUCUUGAGCCUGGAGGAAGGGAUGUAUAUGUAUAUUAUACGGGAGUAACAGCAGGGAGAGAAGCCGUGUUUUGUCCUGUUAUUUUUACACUGCACUGUGGAUGCAUGCAUGGCACUUUCCAAAGAGGAUUGCAGAUGUUGUCUUUGGCCUAA
rnacentral:lncRNA from 1 species